UUGGUGAUUAUAAUUUAUAACGUACCAUAUAGCAGUGCUACCCCGGCCCACCCCCUCUACGAAACUUCCUCUCCUCUUUCCUAGCUCUAUCUGCAACUCUCUGCAACCGCCUUGUUUUUAUAAAUAUGUAAGUAUAGGAGGCAUACGUACUGCACUGCACUCAAUUCGUAUCUUGAGGCCGGAAGCCAUGGAUGACAGCUCAAUUAGAGAGUGUUGCAAAUCUUCAAACUACGUCUUCACCGGAAAAUUCAUGUUAAUCUCUGUAGUUGUUGUUGUGUUGGUUUGUGUUUUCUUAGGUUUCUUCCACGUGUUUGCACGGCGCCGCCGCAAACUGGGUUUCCUCGAAGACUCCAGUGACGCCGUCGACGGUGCUAGCGCUCAUGGACUUGACCCGUCUUCACAAGAAUCCCUUCCGACGACUUCUGUCCAUUCGUCGGCGGAAGGACGCGACGGCCGUCCACAUGAAUGCUCCGUGUACUUGUCGGAGCUCAAAGAUAUUGAGACGGGUCGGGUCUUGCCCAAAUGCGGGCAUUGCUUCCUUCCAUGCUGAUUGCAGUGGACUAUGGUUUACAUAAAUCAGAGCCCAGAUUCUGCCAUUAAAAACCCCGGUUUAGCUCCUCAAUCAGACGGGACUGGAAUUGAAACCGGAAGCUUUUGACGUUGAAUCGAAUUCGAGUUUCCCUCCGAUCCGUGCCAAAUUAAAGCGGAGAAAGCGGUGGGGCUUGCUUCAAUUAUCCUCUACAACAAAGUCAAUUCCGUCGUGGUUACUGACCGGAGAAAAGGAAUAUUAUUGACUGGUAGGGACAAGCAGCCAAGCUGCAAAUAUUAUUGAUGUGAUGUGAUUACUGAUUAGAUGUCAAAAAGCAAAUGGUGUAAAAAUCUUUGUCGGUAUGUAAAUCAUAAUCUGAUCUUU